rnacentral:rRNA from 1 species
GUUGUCCGACUUUCCCUCCGGGGGGAAACUGCCUUCGGGCGGGGGCUCCGGGUGGACACUUCAUUUUUUCCCGUAACUUUGCAGUCUGAGUAAACUUAAUUAAUAAAUUAAAACUUUUAACAACGGAUCUCUUGGUUCUGGCAUCGAUGAAGAACGCAGCGAAAUGCGAUAAGUAAUGUGAAUUGCAGAAUUCAGUGAAUCAUCGAAUCUUUGAACGCACAUUGCGCCCCCUGGUAUUCCGGGGGGCAUGCCUGUUCGAGCGUCAUUUCACCUCUCAAGCCUCGCUUGGUAUUGGGCAACGCGGUCCGCCGCGUGCCUCAAAUCGACCGGCUGGGUCUUCUGUCCCCUAAGCGUUGUGGAAACUAUUCGCUAAAGGGUGCUCGGGAGGCUACGCCGUAAAACAAACCCAUUUCUAAGGUUGACCUCGGAUCAGGUAGGGAUACCCGCUGAACUUAAGCAUAUCAUAAGCGGAGGAAA